UACGUAGGGUGCAAGCGUUGUCCGGAAUUAUUGGGCGUAAAGGGCUCGUAGGCGGUCCAUCGCGUCGGGAGUGAAAAGCUGGGGCUUAACCCCAGUCCUGCUUCCGAUACGGGUGGACUAGAGGUAGGUAGGGGAGAUCGGAAUUCCUGGUGUAGCGGUGAAAUGCGCAGAUAUCAGGAGGAACACCGAUUGCGAAGGCAGCUCGCUGGGACGUUACUGACGCUGAGACGCGAAAGCGUGGGGAGCAAACAGG
rnacentral:rRNA from 1 species